rnacentral:rRNA from 1 species
GGAAUUUUGGACAAUGGGCGCAAGCCUGAUCCAGCAAUGCCGCGUGCAGGAUGAAGGCCCUCGGGUUGUAAACUGCUUUUGUACGGAACGAAAAGCCUGAGGCUAAUAUCCUCGGGUCAUGACGGUACCGUAAGAAUAAGCACCGGAUAACUACGUGCCAGCAGCCGCGGUAAUACGUAGGGUGCAAGCGUUAAUGGGAAUUACUGGGCGUAAAGCAGGCGCAGGCGGUUUUGUAAGACAGUGGUGAAAUCCCCGGGCUAAACCUGGGAACUGCCAUUGUGACUGCAAGGCUAGAGUGCGGCAGAGGGGGAUGGAGUUCCGCGUGUAGCAGUGAAAUGCGUAGAUAUGCGGAGGAACACCGAUGGCGAAGGCAAUCCCCUGGGCCUGCACUGACGCUCAUGCACGAAAGCGUGGGGAGC